UCACAAAGAAAGAUGAGAUGAGGGACUAUUCGUGGUUUCUGCUGAACACUAAUUAUUGUAUUGCUCUCCUGAACUUGGCAUGUGACUCAGCACCUAAUUCCAGUUCCUAACGUUCUAUAAAGAUUAGUGACUUAGAUGUUAUUGCUUUGCAGGUUUCUGAUUUGGCAUAUUUUUGAUACCAGAAGAAAAUGACCUCUGAAUUCUGCUUCAGUCAGCCUUGCUGUCUCACUAGAGAUCUACACCAGCUACACCCUUACAUGCUUUUCAAUCCAUACUGAUAUUCUUUCAGAUGAGAUAACUUGACCUUUAGGAAACCCUUCUACAGCUGAAUGUGCAAGAAGUGACAGCCUGAAAUGCUCUACUGAUGGAGCAAUUGCCCAGAGAGUACAGACUUGGUUGAGCUUCCUUAUCAUUAGAGUGUUCACUUUCAAAUCACCUACCUGUCUGUUGAGUAUGCCAAGCACGAGGCUUCGAGAAUGAUAAGAAAGGGAUGUAGAAGUACAAACACACAUGCCACUCACCCUCUCUUGUUCCUGUUUGUUUGGGUUUUCUUUUUUUUUUUUUUACCUUAUAUCAACAAAGUCAGAAUUCAUCAGUCCAGAGAGUGAAAAACAUGGGCACAUAAAUAACACACACCACAUUUUAGUGCA